GGCUUCAUAUUAACAUCUCACCGCAUCGUUCAUCCCCUCAUCAGCCACAUAUUUCGUUCUGCCGAACAGCGUCCAUGGUGUUGAAUAUCCGUGAGUUCAUGUUCCAAUCAACAAAGUGAGCCUGUUUUAAGACUUCUUUACAUUGCCGCCGGCGCUUUCUCGUGAUUAUUCGGCUAGAGAGUUAUCUAGUUGCUGGAUCGUGAUUUUGCCCUUUCGACUGCAAGUAAAGGUGACUUCACUGUGUUUGCAGAACCUCCAUAGGCAGGCGCAGGAGAGAGUUCGUAUGAGAUGAUACGUGUGUAUUGACUGAAAAUAUAUAGCUUCGAUAUAUAGUUGAAUUUGAAGAGUAAUAUUGAAGAUUUGGUCUAGCUGUUUAUGUGGUCAUGACGAUUACGAUGCUUGGAAGUGGAAGAAGAGAUGAGGAGACAAGUGGAAACGGAGAUCACGGAGAAGAAGAGUAUGAGAUUGAUGAUAUCCGAGAAAGAAUCACGUCCUCGCGCGGGAGUCGAUUCAAUCUGCUAAGCAAACAGCUGGGUUUCGAGCCGGCUCGCAAGAUAUUUAGCAGAGAAUCUGUCAUCAAUGGCUUCAAAGACCUCUCCAAAGAUCUCAUCAUCCACCCUGAAAACAGGUGGUAUCGGGCAUGGACCAAUUUCAUUCUGGUUUGGGCGGUGUACUCAUCUUUCUUUACACCCAUGGAGUUUGGCUUCUUCAGGGGGAUGCCAAGAAAACUAUUCUUGCUUGAUAUCGCAGGUCAAGUGGCUUUCCUCAUAGACAUUAUCCUUCAGUUCUUCGUUGCCUACAGAGAUAGUCAGACCUACAGAAUGGUCUAUAAGCGCACCCCAAUUGCUCUUCGGUACCUGAAAUCUAGUUUUGUCAUUGAUCUUCUGGCUUGUAUGCCUUGGGAUGUUAUCUAUAAGGCUUGUGGAAAUAAAGAAGAAGUGAGAUACAUUCUGUGGAUCAGGUUGAUUCGGGUUUGCAAAGUUACUGAAUUUUUUCAGAAGUUGGAGAAGGAUAUACGGAUUAAUUAUCUGUUUACCAGAAUUGUAAAGCUUAUUGUUGUUGAACUCUAUUACACACAUACUGCAGCCUGCAUCUUUUAUUAUUUGGCUACCACUCUGCCUCCUGAGCUGGAAGGGUACACAUGGAUUGGGAGUUUAAAAAUGGGUGACUACAGUUAUUCACACUUCAGAGAGAUUGAUUUAUGGACGCGGUAUACAACAUCCCUAUAUUUUGCCAUAGUUACCAUGGCAACUGUUGGUUAUGGGGAUAUACAUGCUGUCAAUCUAAGGGAAAUGAUUUUCAUAAUGGUUUAUGUCUCUUUUGACAUGAUUCUCGGUGCAUAUUUGAUUGGUAACAUGACUGCAUUAAUUGUGAAAGGGUCAAAGACAGAAAGGUUCAGGGAUAAAAUGACAGAUCUCCUGAAGUAUAUGAACAGAAAUAGACUUGGGAGGGACAUCCGGAAUCAGAUAAAAGGUCACUUGCGGUUACAGUAUGAAAGCAGCUAUACUGAGGCAUCUGUUCUUCAGGAUAUCCCCAUGUCAAUCCGUGCUAAGAUUUCCCAAACUUUAUACAAGUCAUACAUUGAAAAUGCCCCCCUGUUCGAAGGAUGCUCUUCAGAAUUCAUCAAUCAGAUUGUAAUCAGAGUCCACGAGGAGUUUUUUCUCCCAGGAGAAGUGAUAAUGGAACAGGGAAAUGUGGUUGAUCAACUUUAUUUUGUCUGUCAUGGUAUGCUGGAGGAGGUGGGUAUAGGGGCAGAUGGAUCAGAGGAAACUAUAUCAAAUCUGGAACCUAACAGCUUAUUUGGUGAAAUUUCUAUUCUAUGCAACAUACCUCAACCUUAUACCGUUCGAGUUUGUGAGCUAUGUAGGCUUCUACGCCUCGAUAAGCAGUCUUUCUCAAAUAUACUUGAGAUAUAUUUUCAUGAUGGGAGGAGAAUCCUGAACAACCUUCUAGAGGGAAAAGAAUCAAAUCUUCGUCUGAAGCAACUAGAAUCAGAUAUCACAUUUCAUAUUGGAAAGCAAGAGGCAGAACUUGCUCUAAGAGUUAACAGUGCAGCUUAUCAUGGAGAUCUGCAUCAACUCAAAAGUUUGAUACGAGCUGGAGCUGAUCCCACCAAAACAGAUUAUGAUGGAAGGACACCGUUGCAUCUUGCUGCAUCAAGGGGAUAUGAAGAUGUAACUCUCUUCCUUGUUCAAGAAGGUGUAGACAUUAAUAUUACAGAUAAGUUUGGAAACAUUCCCUUGUUAGAAGCCCUCAAGAAUGGACAUGACAGAGUCGCUUCAGCACUUGUUAAACAAGGGGCUUCAUUAAAGAUUGAUGAUGCUGGAAGUUUCUUAUGUGCUGUGGUUGCUAGGGGUGAUUCAGAUUUCCUCAAGAGGAUAUUAUCCAAUGGCAUUGAUCCAAACUGCGAAGAUUAUGAUCAACGAACACCACUUCAUGUAGCUGCCUCUCAAGGAUUAUAUUUAAUGGCAAAGUUACUUUUGGAAGCUGGGGCUAGUGUCUUAUCAAAGGACAGAUGGGGAAAUACUCCACUUGCUGAAGCAUGGAUGUGUGGAAACAAGAAUUUGAUCAAGCUGUUAGAAGAUGCAAAAUCCACUCAACACUCUUCAGUUCACUGACUAUUCUCAAGAAAUCACCAGUUGGCUUUCUAGGGGUACAAAGUCUCAAAAGCUGCAAUUCAUACAUUUUCCUGAACCGUAAGACUUCAUAAUUCCUUCUCACUGACGUAGAUGGCCCUCAAGAAUGGACAUGAAAAGUUGCUUUUAGUACACCUUGAACUAGGAGCUUCGUUAAAGAUUGAUGAUGCUGGAAGUUUCUCAUUUUGCAGUGGUUGCAAGAGAGGGUUGGAUUUCCUCAAUAGGAUGGUGUCCAGUGCAUUGAUCCAAACUGCAAAGACUUCGAUCAAACCAACUUGACUUAAUGUCAUCACCUUGAUGUAUUAUUUUUAACUGCAAAGUUGCUUUUGGAAGAAUAGUGAUCAAGAUUAGUGAAAUUGUCAAGCAUCUGGGUAAUUGGGACCUUAGGAAGGACAGCUGGGGCCUUUCAUGCAAGCAUGGGUGUUCAAAAUUAGUCAUUUAGUAAGUUGGAAGAUUUGAACACUAAGAGGCUAGAAGCCUAGAAGGGUGUACUCCCUUGCACCUUCUCUUGGAAGGGACACAGGAUCGGGGUCCUCAUUUGUGGGCAGAGUGAGACAGUAUUCUUGGCUCUUUUCUAAUUUGAAAAUGAGGAUUCUGCAGUUGGCAAAUCAAAACGCGUGGAAAUAAGAAUUUUGAUCAGGCUGCUGGAAGAUGAGAAGUCCACUCAACUCUGAGUUCGCCAACAGUUCUUAACAAAAUAGAGGUAUUUUGAAAACUCUACUUUAUACCUCAAUUCUUGCUACCUGAAGUUGAACUGGAUAUUGCAUAGAUACGAUAUCCAUGACUACGAGACUAUGGACUGCCAAACCUGGUUGCUUGACUUUCAUGUUAAAGCCCCAAAAGAGGAGAGGAGAUACAAGAUCUAAUAAAUUUGUAGGUGCUGAAUGUCUACCACUCACUUAGCCCCGAAAAAACAAAAAACAAAAAACAAAA